CGCCAAGAAACUCAUGGGCGCUUGGCAGAGUACUUGAAGUUGUCAAGGACAAGAACGGAUUUGUUAGAAGUGUCAAGUUGAAGACAAAAACUUCUACUUUAGUUCGCCCUGUAACAAAGCUAUGUCUUCUAGUUGAAGGCAGUGUUGAGUAGUUGUCAGUAUUUACAGACAUAUUGUUAUGCGUUGUAUCCACCAAGAUUUCAAGUGUUAGUUUAAAGAUAAUAGUAAAGUUUGACCUUGUUUAUUGGUAUUAUGUAAUUGCUUAUUGAUUAAUAACCAAUUAGAGGGCCGGUAUGUAGCGGCCAAACUCAGAUAGAUUUCUUAUUUUUGUUUUGCCAAGUGAGGGCGCUGUUGCGGGAAUACGGGAGCUAAGCAAAAAGCAACAUGGCUUCAGCUCAAUCAUGUCAAUGACGACAGAAUUUGCAACCUGUGGAAUUCUUCGCCCAAAGCAUUAACUGGCCAAGGUUUAUUAAACGUCAAUCUGUGCCUAUACCUGAGCCUGACAAGUGUACGACUACCAAAACUGUCAGAAGUUGUACAAGACAAUAAAAUCUUCUGGAUCUGCGCACAGCA